rnacentral:rRNA from 1 species
GUGGGGAAUAUUGGACAAUGGGCGCAAGCCUGAUCCAGCCAUGCCGCGUGAGUGAUGAAGGCCUUAGGGUUGUAAAGCUCUUUUGUCCGGGAAGAUAAUGACUGUACCGGAAGAAUAAGCCCCGGCUAACUUCGUGCCAGCAGCCGCGGUAAUACGAAGGGGGCUAGCGUUGCUCGGAAUCACUGGGCGUAAAGGGCGCGUAGGCGGACUCUUAAGUCGGGGGUGAAAGCCCAGGGCUCAACCCUGGAAUAGCCUUCGAUACUGAGAGUCUUGAGUUCGGAAGAGGUUGGUGGAAUUGCGAGUGUAGAGGUGAAAUUCGUAGAUAUUCGCAAGAACACCAGUGGCGAAGGCGGCCAACUGGUCCGAUACUGACGCUGAGGCGCGAAAGCGUGGGGAGCAAACAGGAUUAGAAACCCGUGUAGUCC